UGCCAGCAGCCGCGGUAAUACGGAGGGGGUUAGCGUUGUUCGGAAUUACUGGGCGUAAAGCGCGCGUAGGCGGCUUUGUAAGUCGGAUGUGAAAGCCCUGGGCUCAACCUGGGAAUUGCAUUCGAUACUGCAUGGCUAGAGUAUGGUAGAGGGAAGUGGAAUUUCCGGUGUAGCGGUGAAAUGCGUAGAUAUCGGAAGGAACACCGGUGGCGAGGGCGACUUCCUGGGCCAAUACUGACGCUGAGGCGCGAAAGCGUGGGUAGCAAACAGGAUUAGAUA
rnacentral:rRNA from 1 species